UGGCGAACGAGUGAGUAACACGUGGGUGAUCUGCCCUGCACUUCGGGAUAAGCCUGGGAAACUGGGUCUAAUACCGGAUAGGACGAUGGUUUGGAUGCCAUUGUGGAAAGUUUUUCGGUGCAAGAUGAGCUCGCGGCCUAUCAGCUUGUUGGUGGGGUAAUGGCCUACCAAGGCGUCGACGGGUAGCCGGCCUGAGAGGGUGGACGGCCACAUUGGGACUGAGAUACGGCCCAG
rnacentral:rRNA from 1 species